rnacentral:rRNA from 1 species
UAACGCGUGGGAAUCUGCCUUGGAGUGGGGGAUAACCGAUGGAAACGUCGGCUAAUACCGCAUACGUCCUGAGGGAGAAAGAUUUAUCGCUCUGAGAGGGGCCCGCGUCGGAUUAGCUAGUUGGUGAGGUAAAAGCUCACCAAGGCGACGAUCCGUAGCUGGUCUGAGAGGAUGAUCAGCCACACUGGGACUGAGACACGGCCCAGACUCCUACGGGAGGCAGCAGUGGGGAAUAUUGGACAAUGGGCGAAAGCCUGAUCCAGCAAUGCCGCGUGAGUGAUGAAGGCCUUAGGGUUGU